AAACGUGAGGUAUUCAUUUUCUCUGUGCAAUGACUGCAAUCAUUACAAACACACUUCAUUCCUCUCCUUUUUCAACCCCAUUCAACUCAAACACCACCAACCACCACCAACAACAACAAUACAAAUGAACACCUUCUUUACUGCUUCAUCGUAUACACCUCUCUGCACCUGUAUUUUCUCCGCGGUGAAGAGAGGUGUAUAUGAUGAAGCAGUGAAGAAGGUGUAUAUGAUGAAGCAGUGAAGAAGGUGUAUACAGAUGCAGAGAGGUGUAUAUGAUGAAGCAGUGAAGAAAGUGUUCAUUUGUAUUGUUGUUGUUGGUGGUGGUUGGUGGUGUUUGAGUUGAAUGGGGUUGAAAAGGGAGAUGAAUGAAGUGUGUUUGUAAUGAUUGCACGGUAUUUCAAGACUACCUCUUCUCCUUCUUCUAGGGUUUUGCUUCCAUGUUCAUUCCUCUCCCUUUUCAACCCCAUUCAACUCAAAAACCACCAACCACCACCAACAACAACAAUACAAAUGAACACCUUCUUUACUGCUUCAUCGUAUACACCUCUCUGCACCUGUAUUUUCUCCGCGGUGAAGAGAGGUGUAUAUGAUGAAGCAGUGAAGAAGGUGUAUAUGAUGAAGCAGUGAAGAAGGUGUAUACAGAUGCAGAGAGGUGUAUAUGAUGAAGCAGUGAAGAAAGUGUUCAUUUGUAUUGUUGUUGUUGGUGGUGGUUGGUGGUGUUUGAGUUGAAUGGGGUUGAAAAGGGAGAUGAAUGAAGUGUGUUUGUAAUGAUUGCACGGUAUUUCAAGACUACCUCUUCUCCUUCUUCUAGGGUUUUGCUUCCAUGUUCAUUCCUCUCCCUUUUCAACCCCAUUCAACUCAAAAACCACCAACCACCACCAACAACAACAAUACAAAUGAACACCUUCUUUACUGCUUCAUCGUAUACACCUCUCUGCACCUGUAUUUUCUCCGCGGUGAAGAGAGGUGUAUAUGAUGAAGCAGUGAAGAAGGUGUAUAUGAUGAAGCAGUGAAGAAGGUGUAUACAGAUGCAGAGAGGUGUAUAUGAUGAAGCAGUGAAGAAAGUGUUCAUUUGUAUUGUUGUUGUUGGUGGUGGUUGGUGGUGUUUGAGUUGAAUGGGGUUGAAAAGGGAGAUGAAUGAAGUGUGUUUGUAAUGAUUGCACGGUAUUUCAAGACUACCUCUUCUCCUUCUUCUAGGGUUUUGCUUCCAUGUUCAUUCCUCUCCCUUUUCAACCCCAUUCAACUCAAAAACCACCAACCACCACCAACAACAACAAUACAAAUGAACACCUUCUUUACUGCUUCAUCAUAUACACCUCUCUGCACCUGUAUUUUCUCCGCAGUGAAGAGAGGUGUAUAUGAUGAAGCAGUGAAGAGAGGAGUAUAUGAUGAAGCAGUGGAAAAGGUGUAUACAGGUGCAGAGAGGUGUAUAUGAUGAAGCAGUGAAGAAGGUGUUCAUUUGUAUUGUUGUUGUUGGUGGUGGUUGGUGGUGUUUGAGUUGAAUGGGGUUGAAAAGGGAGAGGAAUGAAGUGUGUUUGUAAUGAUUGCACAGUAUUUCAAGACUACCUCUUCUCCUUCUUCUAGGGUUUUGCUUCCAUGUUCAACGACUUCUGAUUCAAAUAUACUUCUAAUUGGUGGAGAAUUACAGAAUCCUUCGUCACCAUAUUGUUCUACGCAUGCCUCGAGAGAGGUGUAUAAGCUAAUUCCAGAAGUUAGUGGUCCUAAUGGUGAUAUUAAGAAUAUCAGAAUUGAAUUAGCUGAUGCUACUAUUCCGAGGAUGAAAUCUGGUAAAGCGUGUCCUAUUGUUGAAGAGAUUGGAGGUAAUCUAUAUGUCCUUUACUCUCGCUUUGUACACAGAGGUUUCACUGCACAAUCUGAAAUUCCUUUUGAGGUUUUUGAUUCAAAAAUCGAUGAAUGGAGAACCCUUCCAGUUCCUCCUUUCUUCGUUGCUGGUUCGGGUACUGUCAUUUAUGCAUAUGCUGUAUUUGGUCAUUGUUUUGCAAUUGAAACAUCUAAAGAAUGUUUUUGUUUUGAUACAUUCAAAGAAAAAUGGUAUUGUUCACACAACAUGACCUCUCAUUUAAUCAAUAUUCUUCCUAUGACUAUACCCUCGGGUCUGCCCUGCUUCGGACUCGACGAGCAAGGUAGACAACUGUAUGUUGGCAUUAGUCUUCUAAUUGAGCCCUGUGCGUACCUAGCCACCCCCGAUGGAACCGUUUAUGCAAGGCAAUCUUUGUAUCAUGUUAUUUUUAAAGUAAUUCUUCCUUAUCCUUAUCCACCCAUGCUUAGGAACGUGCUUAUUCCUUUGAAGUCGAUACAAGAAAAUGUCAUUAGAAUGUGUGCUUGUUCCAUUGUCUCACACAAUGACUUUCCAGCUUGUUCCAUUGCCUUCUCAACAACUUAUCUAUAAGAUGAUUUCUGGAGAAUUGCCUGAUAUCCAUGAUCAUCCUGCAUACUCCACCUUCUUGGAUGUCUUUGUGGAAAGAAAGUUUUUCCUUAGAGCUCCCCACCUUGGCCACUUUUUCAAUGGGCCUGCUUUGCUACUUUGAGAUUCUUGCAGCUUGGGGUUUAGGAUGGUUGUUUUAUUUUGCACCUUGGCGUGGCUGGCUGAUUGUUCUGCUUGAAGUUCCUACUCUUUUCCUCUGCAGCGUUUUCUGGUUACUAAUUAUUACGGACUGUAAUGGAGACUGGAGAGUACUCCCCUCUUUAUAUUAUCAUCUUUUCUAAGCAAUCGACUUCCAGUAACUCUUUUGUAAUAGCUUUUAACUAGCUAACUUAUCCUGAUCUAGCUUUUGUGCACUGUUCUGAAAUUCUAACUUAUUCUAUUACUAUGA